rnacentral:rRNA from 2 species
AAAUUGAAGAGUUUGAUCAUGGCUCAGAUUGAACGCUGGCGGCAGGCCUAACACAUGCAAGUCGAACGGUAACAGGAAGCAGCUUGCUGCUUUGCUGACGAGUGGCGGACGGGUGAGUAAUGUCUGGGAAACUGCCUGAUG